rnacentral:rRNA from 1 species
GAUUAACGCUGGCGGCGUGCAUAACACAUGCAAGUCGAACGAUGAAACUUAAAUGAUUUCUUCGGAAUGAACUUAAGUGGAUUAGUGGCGGACGGGUGAGUAACGCGUGAGUAACCUGCCUUACACAAGGGGAUAGCCGUUGGAAACGACGAAUAAUACCCUAUGAUGUUUCUAUCUCGCAUGAGAUAUUAACCAAAGUGUUAGCGGUGUAAGAUGGACUUGCGUCUGAUUAGCUAGUUGGUGAGAAAAAAGCCCACAAAGGCAACGAUCAGUAGCCGGCUUGAGAGAGUGUACGGCAACAUUGCGACUGGGACACGGCCCAGACUCCUACGGGAGGCAGCAGUGGGGAAUUAUGCACAAUGGGGGAAACCCUGAUGCAGCGGCGCCGCGUGAUUUAGAAGGCCUUCGAGUUGUAAAAAUCUUUUGUAUAGGAAGAAAAUGACAGUACUAUACGAAUAAGGUCCGGCUAAUUACGUG